AUAGUAUAAUAGUUCACAUUUUUAACUUAAAUUUUUCGCCCGGUGUACCGGCAUUGUCGGUCACUUCAAAGCGUCGGUCCCAGAGCUUUUUGUCAAACUUCUCGGACGGCACUGGAACCCUCAUACCGAUAAAUGAAAAAGAAGCGGAAUUCUCUGGGUCGGCGACUUUCUGAAUGUGCGACAGCUGGCGCAACACCUUGAUUUUGGACUCCAUAUUAGCCCACGCACAAUUUAACAGAUCUGAGAUGUAAGAUCUGAGUUAGGAGAUCUGAGGGUUAUUGAAAGUAAUCCCCAAACAACUCUUUCGUAUCUUGGCAUUCGUAGAUCGAUCUAUCUAAAAGCGGCGAUCGCUGCUACUUAACUUUUCGGCUUAGGUUCCUAGAUCUCUACUUAGUAAAUGAGGAGAAUCGAAUCUCCUUUACUUCUCUUUGAGCCAGGACAAUUGUCUGUUUCCGCCGACUCAAAAGAGAGGAUGCACCUUCGACUCGGUUCGCUUUAUCAAAGUCUUCAGAUCUUGAUCUCCAACGAAAAAGGAAAUAUAUGUGGAGUUCGAGGAUGAAGUGGAGGAAGAUCGGAGAUCCCUGCGCAAUAUUUGGCAACCCAAUUACUUUGUUUGCUUAGCCGACAAAAUGUUUAUUCAAGUCCCGAGUUGAGAUUCCUCUGGGGGGCGAGCUGGAAAUUUUCAGUUUAGACAGACAGAUGAGCGCCGAUAAAAAAAAACACACGAGAUGGGUAACCGACAACAAAACUAAAGGAAAAUAAAAAUCCUCGGAGUGCAACGAACUGCGUCCGGAUUUUGUUAAA